AAAAUUUGGUGUUGAUUUUAGAGUUGGAAGGAUGUGUUGUGUUUAUAAGUCUUGUAAUACACAUGUUUACGUUUGGUAAAACUCCAUCGUUGUUGUGGUUCUGGCGGUUUUUGGCGCUUACAUUGUCCUCUUUUUUUACGUUAGCUGGACUUAGUGCUUACGGUCAGAAAUUUGAAGAUACGUCGGACGAUAUAUUUUACAGAUUGGUUAAUGUUAAGUGGUAUCACUGGAACCGUCAGAAUAAGGAAAUGUAUCUAAUGUUUUUGGCAAAUACCCAGAAACCUUUUAAACUGAAGUUUUCUGAAAAUAUU